UUAAACUUCAGAUUUCAGAGCUCUUUUAGAGCACAAAAUUUUGUGCUCUUCUCUUCCUCUCCCUUCAUUCAUCUCCUUCUUCCUCCAAGCUCUUAUCCAUGACCUCCUAUGGUGGUGAACAUCUUCUAGAUUCAUCUUCUCCUUGAAGUGGCGUCUCCUCUCUCUCUUCCUUCUCCAUUCCAUUGCCAUUCAUCUUCCAAGAAGCAAAGGAAUCCAUUGAUGAAGAAGAUCCUAGGCCUACAAGCUCCAAUGGAGCUUACACCAUGUGGUAUCAAGAGCAUCUUCAUCUAGGUGAUGUUCUUUUGCUUCCUCUAUCUUUUUGUUCGGUGAAUUCUCUUUAAUUCCUUGUUCUUCAUCUUAUUCUCCAUGUAUAUCCUCCAUUGUCUUGUGGAUUGGUUCUGUUUAGAGUAGAUUCAAAAAAAUAAACCGAUUAAAUCUUAGAUCUACACUUGUUCUUGCAUUUCUAUGGUUCAAAUUUUGUAGAUCUACUCUUGAAUCUUGUUUUUGUGUUGAUUUUAGGUUCUAUCAAUUUUCAUUAAUAAUAUUCUUGUGCUGAACCUUUAGAUCUAAAUUUUAUUCCAAAAAUAUUUAUUAGAAAAAAUAACACAAAAAUCUAAGUGUAAAUCACUUAAUCCAUGUUGUCUUAGAGUCAUGUUUAGUUAUAGUAAUUGUCACAUUAUGCUCUAAGUUUGUGUUGAAUUUUUAUUUUGUUUAUUGAAUUCUAGAUACAUUUGUUCAUGUAUUCUUGUAAUUCUUAGCCUAUCUUUUGAAUUUUGAGUCUAAUUCAUGCAUGUUAUUUAGUUCAUAACAUGUUCUAAAUCAAUUCCUAGAAGUAGUCUUGUUGUUGAACUCUUUUUUUUUUUUGUUUUCUAAGUUUCCUACAUGAUGCCUAUGAUGAAGUUGAGUUGUGGUGCUGAGUUGUGGCUGGAUUUGUGAAUCAAAAUAAGUCUUAAGCUCUCUUGAAUUGUGUUAUUCAAGAUAAUUGAGCAUAAGAAAACAAAAAUUGUAACUAUCCAAGCCUUAAACAACAUAAACACUACUCUUGAUUUCUAGGUUGAAAUCGCUGGUGUUGGCAACUUGAACAUACGAACUUGUAUAAAUUACUGGGAAUUGGUAACUACGUGUUUUGAGAUGAAAUUUUUACUGAAUUUUCUAGACAUCUGGAAAAAACUUAUGAAAAAAGAACCAAUUGAUUUGAAUUAAAGAAAAAAAUAAGAAAAAUCACACAAGUUGGCAGAAAAAUCAGUGUCCAGGAAAAGAAAAAAAAAAGUGAAAGGGAAGUGUGCUUGUUGUUUUGGCUCAAAAUUUGUUCUAUAAUUGGUGACUAUUUUUAUACCAAUCCUAGUUCUGAAAUUUCAAUUGAAAAUUAUUGUGAAAACAAGUGCCAAAACUAGAGGUUUCUUGAGUCUUUUUUUUGUUUUUGUUUUUCUACUCUACUCUAGAUCCAUUCUAGGUUUCUCUUUGAGUCCUAGUUUGCUUUUGUGUGCUUUUCAUUGCUUUAAUUGUUGAAUAAUCCUUGAAAAUUUGUCUUGUUAAAACUCUGUUGGUUUAGCUUUCAUUUCAUAUUUCUUGGUCUUUGGUUAUUUCUUGUCUCUUUGUUUCCUUGCUUGUGAGUUGCCAUAUAGGGAAUUGGAAAGGAGGAUUGGUGCCAUACCUCAAGAAUUUGAGUCAAGAAGCAAGGGGCCAACCACCUUAAGAGCUAUUGGAUUAAGAAACACUCCAAAUUGAGUGAAACACCAAACAGAGAAUAGCCACCACAAUUGAGGACUUUUUUUUUUUGUAAUUUUGUAUUUGGCAAUUUGCUUUGCUUUUAAAUUUUGUAACAAAAAGGCCUUUCAUUGGAAGUAAGUUGGGAGCCUCCAAUAGGUCACCCUACUUCCAUUUGUGUGUAAUAAUUUUAGGCAAUUUUCCCUUAGGAUAGUGAGUGUUUUGUUGGGAACCUUAAAUGAGGUCAUUCAAACACUCUUAGGAUCCUCCUAGUUUGCAUUUCUUGCUUACUUUCAUAGCUUAUUUCCUUUACUCUCCAUUGUCAAACAACCUAGGUAGCUUGCCUUUUACCAAUUAGUUUUUACCUUAUCUUUCACACCUCUUUUAGUGUUUAUUUUGGCUAGUUUCAACCAUAGUUUCUUUUACCUUUUGUUUUCAAACCCCCAACAAGAAAGAACCAUAACUUAGGAACCAACAUGAGUCUUCAUUCUUCAUCUAGUGUUAAUGGUGAGGGUUCUACUCCUAAGGACCUCUUGUAUAAGAUAUUAGAUGAGUUGAGAUCCCUUAAGUUGUGGAAAGAAAAACAAGAGAGAAAAGAAAAUGGAAAAAAAGAGUGGAAGAAAUAAGUCAAGAUGAAAAAGAGAAAAUAAGGGAAGAAGGAAGAAGGAAAAUACUAAAAGAGUUAAGAAAAGAAAAACAUGCCUCCUCUAGUAGUCAUAACUCUUGCAAGAGCCUAAGUGAAGAACUUCGUGACUAUUAUGAAGGAAGGCAUAGGUCUCAUCUUAGACCUCACUCCCAUGGAAGAGAAAAGGAAAGAAAUCCUUAAGAGGCUAACAUUAACCUCCCAUACUUCCAUGGGAAGGACAAUGUAGAGGCUAACAUAGAUUGGGAAAUAAGGGUAGAGCAAUAACUUAAAAGGAAGUCUACUUCAAAAUUUUAUGGCUCUCACUCUUAUCCAAAGAAAGACCAAGGUCAAGGCAUCUUAGAGGUGACACCUUCUAAGCCCAAAGAUGAUAAGGGGAAGACAAUAGAAAAGCAACCCUUUAAGGCUAGUAUGCAAGAGAAGACUAGCUCCAUGAAGUGAUUUAAAUGUCUUGGAAGAGGACACAUUACUUCUCAAUGGCCCACCAAGAAAACCAUGAUUAUGAGGGGCCAAGACAUUUAUAGUAGCCAAGAUGAGGUUGCUACUUCACCUUCUUCUAGUGAAAGUGAAGAAGCAAAAGGGGAAGAAUCUAGUGAAGAAAUCUACCCCCAAGAAGAAGGACAACCUUUAAUGGUUAAGGAGGAGUGUAAGGAGGUAAGUGUCUCCUCCAAGAGGUUAUCUAAGAAGGAAAGUCAUUUUGAAAUAAAGACAAAUAUUAAAGAAACUUACCCUCUUAGACAACCUCCACAUUUUCUCCUUUGUAAAAAGACACUUGUUAGCAUUGCCACACCUCUUAGGCUUGAGUUUAUUCCUCAAGUAAAGUAGUUGUUGGAUGAGGGUUUGGUUCACAAAAGCUUAAAUCCUUGUGCUUUGUUGGUGCCCAAAAUAGGUAUUAUUAGGCAUCAAAUCCCUAAAAUAGGUGGUAUGAUGAAUGUUUUGAGUGGUGCAACCUUCUUUUGUAAAAUCACUCUUGCACCCAACAUCUUCAUGAUUUGUGUACAUAUGGACUCAUUAGGUAAGUUUGUUCUUAUUUUUAGUUUCAAUACAAACUUAGGUACUUAUAUGGGACACCUUAGGUUUGCCAUACUUUUUGUUAGGAAAAAUCAACAUGAAAAUACAGAAAAAGGUAUCUUUUAUUGCAUUACUUUUCUUAAUUUUUUAAAUAGUGAUCAAGGGGUUCCCAUGAAUCCUAAGAGAAUAAAGGUCAUUCCUGAGUGGCCCACUCCACCAAGUAUAAGAAAAAUUUGGGGCUUCCAUGACUUAACAAACUUUUACAAAAGGUUUGUCCCAUAUUUUUCUAUACUUGUAGCACCAUUCGUUGAGUUGGUGAGGAACCAUGUUCCUUUAUGGGAAGAUGCCCAGGAAAUGGGUUUCCAGACCUUACCUUACUUCAACGUACCAAACACCACUAAUACAUAUGUUUUUGUUCUUUUUACAGGUGUUGCGGGAAAAAGCCCAGA
rnacentral:lncRNA from 1 species